rfam:Callithrix jacchus chromosome 3, whole genome shotgun sequence
UCAAAGGUGUUUUUUAAAACCACAAAUACAUAAAAUCACAUAACUG